AUAUAUAUAUAUAUAUAUAUAUAUAUAUAUGAUUCUUCCUUUGUUAGAUAAUAUAUUCAUAUAAUAUAUUCAUACACUUUCACAUUCAUAUUUUAUAGAAAAAAAUUGGAGGGAUAUCUAUCAAACUAAAAGUGGUUUCCUCUAAAAGGAGAUUUUGGGUUACUAUCUACAUGAAAUGCUAUUAUUAUUACUAUUUUUUGAGACAGAGUCUUGCUGUGUGGCAGGCUGGAGUGCAGUGGUGUGAUCUCAGCUCAUUGCAACCUUUGCCUCCCCAGUUCAAGCAAUUCUCUUGCCUCAGCCUCCCGAGUAGCUGGAACUAUAGGCAUGCGCCACCACACCCGGCUAAUUUUUGUAUUUUUAGUAGAGAUGGGGUUUCACCAUGUUGGCCAGGCUGGUCUUGAACUCCUGACCUCAAGUGAUCCACCCACCUCGUCUUCCCAAAGUGCUAGGAUUACAAGCUUGAGCCACUGUGCCUGGCAGAAAUGUUUCUUAAUAUUUGCAUUUUUUUUGUUUUACAAUAUACAGUAUGACUUUUAAAUUAUGUAAUGACAAAUGUUUAUCAGCGCACACAUGCAGAUGCCUCCGUGUUUAUGAAGCCCAGGAAGCAGGGGCCUCAGCUCACAGCCACAGAACUGCCCCAUCCACGGUGUGAGUUGUGUUGGACCCUGCCCUCCCGCUGCCAACCUCUGACUUCCCACAGGCCCUCUCAUCCCAGAGUGCUGGCAGGCACUGAUAUCCUCUAUGCCUGGGUAUCAGGGGAGUCCUGGAAAAGGAGAAGGCCUGGGAAGCUCUGAUUUUGCUGUAACACAAGUGGCUGGGUGGGAAGGGUAGCUCAGGUCCCCCAGCCCUGGCCAGCCCAGCCCUCACACGGUGGGUGUUGAGUGAACGUGCUUUGCACAGGGAGUGGGAGACUGCCCCAGGGAAGAGGAACUGACCGCCCAGAUGCUGAGGGCCCAACAGCAGAAAACCCCAUACCUGGAAGCAAAUGAACCCCACAUGGGUGCUCUUAGUCACCAUCAGUAAAGCGUGGUGGCUUAAGGGCACGGACUGUGGGCUAUACCAGGAUGCUGGCUACAAGCCAUGUGUGGCCAUUUAUGGUUACAUUUUAAGUAACUGAAAAUAAAUCUGAUUUAAAGUUUGAGUCCAUGGUUGGUUGCAGUCACCACAUUUCAAGGGCCCAGCAGCUACAAGUGGCUGGGGUGGCCAUGUUGGCUGCACAGAUCAUAGAGCAUUCUCAUCGUGGGCAGCAGGAGCAGUGACUGGACAUUGCUGUGCCAAAGACACCGCCAUGGCUUCAGAUCCCGGCUCAUUGCAUGCUGGCCAUGUGUUUGCUUAAUCAGGCCCCUUAGUGUCCUGGGGCUGUGGUCUCCUCAUAGCCAAACAGGCAGUGUUACCGACCUGGUGGGCUGUUUGGUGGGUGGCGUGCGUGACACCUGAAGAUCUUGCCCACAGUACGGCCUGAACUCAGAACGGUUAUCUCAUCCUAAAAGAAGGUUUGUCCGAGGUGCCACCAAGAAACCCAAAAGAUUUUUUUUAAAGGAAUCAAAAUAAAAUGAAGUGUCCAGGUUGGGUGUGGUGGCUCACACCUGUAAUCCCACCUACUUGGGAGUCAAGGCGGGAGGAUUGCUUGAGCCCAAGACUUUGAGACCAGGCUGGGCAACAUAGUGGGACCUCAUCUCUACAAAAAAUAAAAAAAUUAGCCAAGAGUGAUGGGGUACACCUGUGGUCCCAGUCUCUUGGGAGGCUGAGGAGGAGGAUCUCUUGAGCCCAGGAGUUUGAGGCUGCAGUGAGCUAUGAUUGAGCCACUGCACUCCAGCCUGGGUGACAGCAUGAGAGCCUGUCUCAAAGAAAAAAAAAUUGAAGUGUCCAGAACUCAUACUAGAUGUCGAGAUGGCUUCAGGAUUGGGAACGUGCUCUGAGCUGUAUUGUCUAAAAUGGUAGCCACUAAGGACCCACGGCUAUUUAAAUAUAAAUUAAUUAAAAUUCAAUGAAAUCAAACUUUUAGUUCCUGGCUGUACACACAAGCCACAUUCCAGGUGCUCCAUAGAUACAUAUGGCCAGCGGCUGCCGCUCUGGACAGCACGGUCUCCAGGUGCUCAUUAGAUACACAUGGCCAGUGGCUGCCGCUCUGGACAGCACGGUCACUGAACAUUUCCAUCAUUGCAGAAAGUUCCAGUAGGCAGCAGAGAGGACAAGCCAUGUUGGCCCAUCUCCCCAGCCGGCCCUUUCUCAGGCAGGAGGGCCCCAGCUGCUGAGGUCAGUCCUUCCUCUGCUGUCUCUGUGAUCACCCACCCACUCUGACACAGACACCUCUGCUCAGCAGGCUGGGCUGGCUGAGAGUGGGGUCAACUCCAGGCCACUCCGGAAUGCUGGCCAGACUGCGUGCCACCAUGAAUGGAGAAGUCCCUGUUCCAGAAGCCGAGUCAUACAGAGGUGGGGAGCACAGGCGUCAGCUUCAGACGGCCUGGUUUACAACGAUCUCUGCUGUCAGUGACUGUGUGGCCCUUGGGCAAGUUUCUUAAACUGCCUGUGCCUCAGUUUCUUCAUCUACAAAGUAGCACAAUAGUAUCUGCCUCACAAGAGUUCUGUGACGAUACACGGAGCGAUUCCAGGUUAUGCCCAGUCUUAGAAAGCCCCAGAUAAAGGUGAGCUACCUCAUUAGCAUGACUGUGAGAGCUGCUUUCCGUGAGCAGCUGCCUCUGUCAGUGUCUGUCAUGGGCUGAACUAUGUCCCCCUCCCAAGUUCCUAUGUGGAAAUCCUAAUCCCCCCAUCCCUCAGAAUGUGGCUGUAUGUGGAGAUAGCAUCUUUAAGGAGGUAAUUAAGUUAAAAAGGGGUCAUUAGGCUGGGCCCUAAUCCAAUGUGACUGGUGUGCUUCUAAGAGGAGGGAAUUUGGACCCGGACAUGUACACAGGGAAGAUGAGGUGAAGACACAGGGAGGGAAGACAGCACCUACAAGCCAAGGAGGGAGGCCUCAGAAGUCACCAACCCUGCCAACACCUUGAUCUUGGACUUCUAGCCUAUAGAACUCCCCUGGCCUGGAUAAUUCUGAACCCCCAUCCCAACGGCUCCCUACCUCCUUCUCUCCCUCCCAGCUUUCUGGGCCCCAUAUCACACAAGCUCAGCAGCUUCCAACCACAUCACUUCCUCGACCCUCCCUGAGACAAUCUGUGCUUCCCACCACCUGCCUCCUGCACCUGGGCUGCCCCUGUUAUCCAGGUCUGCUCAGAAUUUUUUUUUUUUUUUUUUUUUUUGAGACAAAGUCUUGCUUUGUUGUCCAGGCUGGAAUGCAAUGGCGCAAUCUCGGCUCACUGCAAUCUCCGCCUCCCGGGUUCAAGCAAUUCUCCUGUCUCAGCCUCCCCCGAGUAGCUGGGAUUACAGGUGCGCACCACCACGCCUGGAUAAUUUCUUGUAUUUUUAGUAGAGACAGGGUUUCACCAUGUUGGCCAGGCUGGUCUCGAACUCCUAACCUCAAGUGAUCCACCUGCUUUGGCCUCCCAAAGUGCUGGGAUUACAGGAGUGAGCCACGGUGCCCAGCCCAGAAAUCUUAUUCCUCCUUUAAGGUCUGGCUUGAAUAUCACAACUUUUUUUUUUUUUAACUUUUUUUUUCUUCUGCAACUUUUAAGCUCAGGAGUACAUGUGCAGCACGUGCAGGUUUGUUACAAAGGUAAACAUGUGCCACGGUGGUUUGCUGCACAGAUCGUCCCAUCACCCAGGUUUGAAGCCCAGCAUCCAUUAGCUUUUCUUCCUGAUGCUCUCCCUCCCCACCACCCUCCUCCGACAGGCCUCACUGUGUUGUUCCCCUACCGACAACUUUCUUAAAGUGUCAGCCUCUUCUGGAUUCAGCAUUCUUUCUUCUUCAUUCUUAAUGUAUGUUUUUCUGCCUCUAUUAUGGCAGCAAAAGUCAUAUAAUUACGAAUGUUCACACAUUGGCCUCUCUACAAGCCUCCAAGGACCAUGCCUUGGGAUCUCUG
rnacentral:lncRNA from 1 species